rnacentral:lncRNA from 1 species
UUUUUAAAAAAUAGAAUUUUUUAGACUUUUUUUUUACUUAAAUAGUCAAUUAAAUUCUCAUAAAAUAAUAUUAAAAAAAUCAAUUAAGCCUUACACCUUAUCAUUUUUUCAUGUCAAUUGCUAAAUCAGUACUUAAUGGCCCAUCAGGGGCUUCAAUGGAGAAAAUGACGUCAAUGGGCUUAAUUAUGUAUUCAAAACCAUUAUUCAAAUGGCUCAAUUGGAUGCACUUUUAGAUGAGAGACUUAAUUGAUUUUUAAAUUAUUUUUAGAGAACUUAUUUGACAUUUUAACUUGGAUCUUGUAAUGUGUAAAUUUUUAUUUAUUAUAAAAGAUAAAAAUAUUCUCAUAAUAAUAUAAUUUAUUUUAGAAAAAAAAUUUUUUAAUAAUUUCUUAAAUGAGUUGAGAUGAGCGAUACAAACUCAAUUUAAAUAAAUUAUUAUAACAAAGAUAUACAUUUCUUUAUCUUAUUGGUGGCACACCAAAGGUAUAGUUAGACCAUAUAGAAUUUGCCAAGCACACUAAAAUAUGUUGAAAUGAAGGUGUUAAAGUUAAAUGGACCAUAGGAGGUUGGUUUAUAAUGAUGUGCCAUCAAACAGACAUUUUGUCAACCCAUUGAGGGGUUGACUUACCUGUUCUUAAAAAAUAGAUUUUUUAAAACCUACCAACAUUCCAACAUUAGCAAAGUUGACUUCACCUACACCCCACGUGACCAUAUAUAUUGAAAGUCGAAACGAAAAGAGGCAAAAGAGGCCUAUCAUUAGCCAAGCCCUCUCUUAUAUCAACUAAACUGGUGCCAACAUUAUAUAUAACGUUUACACCAUAUUUAAUUAUUUUGUUCUAAGUCAUUUUUAUCUAAACUUUUCAGGUCAUACAUGUUGUCGAAACUUUUUUUAUCGGUCGACUUUUUAUCUAAAAAAUGAAAAUGGCGCAACUUUGACUUCUUAUUAAUAAAAAAAUUAUUAAAGUAACCCUAGCCAAGAAUGCUUUGCUUAGUAUCCUAGAGAGAACAAUUUUUUCUGUGGCUUAGGAUGGAGGAGAGUGGUGGCGCAGAGGGUUUUGAAGGAGACAAGAUCUCCCUAUUGGUAGAGGAACUUGUCCAAUUAUCAGUAAAAAGCUCGGUGUGGUACCAAGCGAAAAACCAACCCUAUUAUGCACAAUAUGGACGAAGAAAUCUUAUAAUCCAGAUAGCUUCAGGGCACAAAUCAAAAGUAUUUGGAAGACAAGGAAGAAAUUCGAGAUUAAAUUGGCAGGACAAAAUCUUUUUUUGAUAAUGUUUAAGAGUGAAGAAGAUCUAGAAUUAGUUAUGGCGGGGCAACCAUAGCUGUUUCGGAAAAAUUUAGUAAUUUUUGAUAGGUUGACUAGAUCGAUGGAAAGAAGUCAAAUCUGACUUAAUUGAUCACUGUUUUGGAUUAAGAUUGGACCAUGUUCACCAGAAUUUGAUAAAAAAAGAUCUGAUGCAUGCUAUUGGCGUUACUUUUGGAGGUGUUUUGAGAUCUGAAAUUAAUGGAGAAUUCUGUCGGCUAAGAAUCAAAUUAGAUGUGCAAAAACCCUUGCGAAGGGGUAUUUUUGUCUCAACAGAAAAUCAAAGUAAGUCUUGGAUUUCUUUUAAAAUAUGAAAAUUUACCUACAUUCUGUUUUGGUUGUGGAAAGACGGGGCAUGGGCUCAUAGACUACCAAGAGUUUACACCUGUAGAAAGAAACAAAGUCAGAAUUGAUCCUCCUUUUUCUUUAGCUUUAAAAGCAGAAUUAAAUUUAGUUGGAAGAGAGAGUCUAAUGUUUAAAGCCAACUCAAAGAAGAUGCAGCCUCAAUGUUCAUACGUAGGUAAUACUGAGAAUUUUACUGAAUUAAAUCUAGAAGUUGAUGGAAAAAGUGUUAUAUCCCAAGCUAAUUCACAAUGUACAGAAAAAGAGAUAGCGUUAAAGCUGUAGGAGGAUAAAAUGGAUAUAGAAGAUAAGGCUAUCGGGGCAUCUAAUAAUUCUACAAGAACUUUGAAUCCAGCCAAAAAAUUGAGUUGGAAGUGAAUCAAGGUAGAAAGAAGGGUGGAUUCUUACAACGAUGAAAGUAGACUAAGAAAAAGAAAAUCAGAAGAGUGUGCUUUUGAAAAAGAUGAUUCAAAAAUCUCUUGUGAAGAUGAAACAAAGAGAAUGAAGUACAAGGGCAAAUAAUUUCAAACAGGAGAAUAUACAAUUUUGUCGGCUGAAUAUUUCCCACAGGAAUAUGAUUUUCACCAAUAUAGAUCGGCGGGUGCCAAAAGGCAUACUGACCGGGCACAAUGAAAACUAUAUGUUGAAAUGUCCGUGGAUUGGGGAGUCUACAAGCAACACGAAGGCUUUGGUAUUUGCUGAAGCAAGAUAAGCCCCAAAUGGUCUUCUUUAUGGAGACUAAAAUUGAUGAAAAGCGCAUGGAAAAAAUUAGAAGGAGAUGUGGUUUCGAGAAUGGAACUAAUGUAGGAACAGAAGGGUCUAGAGGUGGAAUUUGUAUGGCGUGGAAAACAGGAACUAAUGUAACUCUUAAAAAUUUCUCAAGAAGCCAUAUUGAUGUAAUGGUAAAGGAGGAAAAUAUCAAUGAAGAGUGACGGUUUACAGGAUUUUAUGGAUCACCUUAUGUUCAUGAUAAGAAUGCCUCGUGGAAUUUAUUAAAGCAAUUGGGUAAAGAUCAAAAUCACCCAUGACUGGUAUGUGGUGAUUUUAACGAAAUAAUGUAUUCUUAUGAGAAAAACAAUGGUCUAUCGGGGGAAGAAAAAAGAAUGGAAGCUUUUCGCGAAGUUCUAAAUGAAUGUCAGUUAAUGGACGUGGGUUACAUGGGGGUUUGGUUCAUAUGGGAGAGAGGAAACUUACCGGGAACAAAUAUUAAAGAAAGGCUGGAUAGAGGCAUGACGAAUGAGAAGUGGAUGCAACUUUUUCCAAGUGGAACUAUUCAUCAUUUUACACACUCAAUUUCAGAUCAUUGCCCCUUACUUAUAAAUACUAAUAAGGGAAAAAUCAAUAAAGGAAUCUCAAGUUUCAAAUUCGAGGCAUGGUGGACUUUGGAGGAAUCCAUUGAACAAGAGAUUAAAAAAGCGUGGGAGUUUUCAGAUGGAUCUAUAUGCGAAAAACGAGAGGCUACAAUUCAGAUUGGUGAAUUGGGCGAGCGUAAUAAAGAGGGACUGAGAUGGUUUAAAGAAUAGGCUCACAAAGGAACUUGAAGAACUACUUGAAAGCGAUAGAGAUGAUGCCACAAUGGCAAAGCUGAUUGAUAUUAGAAUUCGACUCAAAAUGGAAAUUGAAAAAGACGAAAUGUACUGGGAACAAAGGGCACGAGCUAAUUGGCUCCAAUUAGAGGAUAAGAACUCAGUAUUUUUUCACAAGUAUGCCUUAGUACGUAAACGAAUUAAUACUAUUACUACGCUGGAAGCUGAUGGAGGUCAUGAAAUUACUGAUGAGUCAGCAAUUAAUGAGGCUAUUCAAAUUAUUUUCAAAAUUUAUUCACAUCGAAGUGAGUAGGGAAUUUAUCCCAUCUGCUAGAGGGUGUUAAGACUAAUAUUUCAUCCGACAUAAAUGAAGAUUUGCUAGUACCAUUUAAAGUAGAAGAGGUUUUUUCAGCUUUGAAAGGAAUGGGGCCUACUAAAGCGCCAAGUUGUGAUGGUUUUCCAGCAUUAUUUUUUCAGAGAUUCUGGCAUAUUGUAGGUAAGAAUGUUGAGAAAUUUUGCUUGGGAAUUCUGAAUGAUGGAAAAAUUUUUGAUUCUCUAAAUCUUACUGAUAUUGUACUUAUUCCAAAACUACCAAAACCCACAAGUCUAGCUAAUUUCAGACCCAUCUGCCUAUGCACAGUUUUACACAAAAUUGUGGCAAAAACAAUUGCAAAUCGGUUUCAGGAGGUCAUUAGAAGAAGUAUAAGGCCCAAAGUACUUUUGUUCUAGGAAGAUUAAUUACUGAUAACGUGCUAGUAGCUUACGAAAUCUUACACACGUUACGACAGAAACGAAUCGAAAAAAAAAGGGCUUAUGGUAGUUAAAUAAGAUAUGAGCAAAGCCUAUGAUAGAGUCGAAUGGUUUUUUUUUAAAGGAAGUUAUACUGAGAAUGGGUUAUGCAAAGGAAUGGGUGUCAUUGAUUAUGAAAUGCAUAUCCACAGUAUCUUACACAGUCAACAUUAAUGAAAGAAGAUGAAGGGUUUUUAAACCCACUUGAGAGCUCCGUCAGGGUGAUCCACUUAGUCAUUUUCUCUUUCUAAUAUGCAGUGAGGGACUCUCGUCUUUCAUAAGAAUAGCGACAACUGACGGUCUACUUAAAGGAGUAAGAGCAAGUCGAAGAGGGCCAGCGAUUUCCUAUCUACUGUUCGCAGACGAUUGUAUUUUGUUUGGCCAAGCGACAAAUAGAGGAGCAAGAAUAUUAAAAGGAAUUUUGGAAGAAUAUGAACAGUGCUCAGGACAAUGCGUGAAUUUUAACAAGUCAACGAUUUUCUACAGCUCAAAACAACAAAAAGGGACAAAGAAGAGGUAUCAAUAAUAUUAAGGGUAAGAUGCUCCACAAAUUUGGAAAAAUAUCUUGGCCUCCCUAAUGUGGUAGGCAGAAGGAAAAAUGAAGCUUUCCAGAAUCUAAAGGAUAAACUUAAUUCAAAGAUUGAUAGUUGGAGCACAAGACUACUGUCAUAAGGGGGUAAGGAGGUUUUUAUCAAGUCAGUGCUUCAAGCAAUUCCAGCUUAUGCUAUGUCAUGUUUUCUCCUACCAAAAUCUUUUUAUGGGGAGCUGGAAAAUAUUUUCGCUAAAUUCUGGUGACAAAAAGGGCAGGGAAGAAAAGGAAUACCCUGGUGUCAAUGGAGAUAUAUGUGCUGAUCAAAAGAAGAAGGGGGUACGGGUUUUAGAAAUCUGUUGCAAUUUAAUAUCUCACUACUAGCAAAGCAAGGAUGGAGGAUCAUAAUAAUCAGGAUUCGUUGGUUACGCAAGUUUUUAAAAUAAAAUAUUUUCCCAAUGAGUAUUUUUUAAAUUCUUGAUUUGGAAAAACUAGCUCUUAUAUUUGGAAAAGCAUAUGGGCAGCAAGAGGUAUUUUAGAAAAAGGUAUAUGCUGGAGGGUUGGCACAGGUUCAAACAUUUCUAUUAAUGAUGAUGCGUGGAUUCCAGAUACUGUUAAUUUUAGAUUAUCUUCAGUUGUUAAUACUAUGCGAGAUGCAAAGGUUAGUGAGCUGAUAAAUAGGAAUGCGAGAAUAUAGGAUAGAGAACUCAUCAAUAAUACCUUUUCAACGACCGAUGCUGGGAAAAUCCUCCAGAUACCUUUAGCACGCACACCUCAUGAAGAUCUGCUUGUAUGGGGAGGUGAACAUUCAGGGGAAUUCUCGGUACACAGCGCCUAUAAACUAUUACAAAAAUCUAAUGAAAUUCCAAGAGCUUAUCCUUUACAAACCAACUACGGGAACUUUUAUAAGAAAUUAUGGCGCCUAAAUCUACCGACUAAAAUAAAGAUUAUAGUAUGGAGAAUUUUUUGGAACUAUUUUCCUAAGAAGGUUAAUAUGCAACACUGGAAACUUGUUAGUUCAAACUAUCCCUGAAGUGGAAAAAGAAAUGAAACAAUCGAUCAUAUCUUCCGAGAAUGUCUUGUCACAGUGGAAGUUUGGGCACUAUGAAAACUUCAAAAUAUUCUUAUGAAUCCAAACAUGGAUUUUUUUAUAGUGGAUUACCUGAGACUUUGGAUAGUUCACUACAUGCUAGAAUAUACUUUUCUACUGUAGUCUCUGGGCUAUCUAGGGCGAAAGAAAUAAAAGAAAAAUGAGCAAAGAAUUAGUACAGGUCAAGAAAUAAUGAACUUCAUCAAUAAUUAUCUUGCUGAACUUAAUGGUCUUGAUAAGAUGAAGUCAAAAAGAGAGAAGAAAAAUAAAAGAUGGACCCAUCCACCUAAUGAGUUCGUCAAAAUUAAUUUUGAUGGUGCCUAUGAUUUGACUCAUGAAUAAUCUGCCUCAGGAAUAGUAACCAGAAAUAAAGAAGGAGCUGUUUUACUCACUUGCUCAGAGGUUCACCACGAAGCAACUUCUGCCUUUACAGCUGAAGCAAUCGCGUGUAGAAAAGCGGUCCAAAUAGCAGUCGAACAGGAAUGGCCGAAAAUUAUUAUAGAAGGUGAUUCCCUCACAAUAAUAAAGAAAUGUUUAUCAAAGAGUCAAGAUCGAUCAUGUAUUGAAGCAUAUAUAUAUAUGAUAUUAAGCAGAAACUAAAUAGAUCUAGGGGUUCAAUGUUAAAACACACACCAAGAUUGGCAAAUGCUCUCGCGCAUAUAGUGGCAACAGAGUUGCUGAAAAGGAAAUAAGAACUGUACCUGGUAAUGGAAGUCCCAGAAUAUGCUAAAGAACAAAGACAGAUCGACCGAAGAAGGGAACUAGAUUGAGGAGAGAAUGAAGAAGAAAAGAAUAAGAGGAAAGAAAAAGAAAGAAGAUGCAUCAGUUUGAAAAGAACAUCUUUCCAUAAAAAUUGAACCGUCAAAAGCAAAGAAAAGAAAUGAAGUCUCCAGAUGAAUAGACAGGGUUCAGAAGUUCUGUUUGGGCAUUAAUUAGGCGUAAUAAUUAUGAAUCUCUAGACUGUUUCGAUUAAAAUAUCUAGAUUUUCUUAGCUUUUUGGGCUCCUUUGUAUUGGGUCGUUUUAGUAGAUUAGCUUUGCUUAGCUGUUUUCACUGUUAGGUUUUGUAAUUCAUUUUCCAAUAAUAAGCCCAGUCUGAAAGUUUC